UACGGGGGGGGCAAGCGUUGUUCGGAAUUACUGGGCGUAAAGGGCUCGUAGGCGGCCAACUAAGUCAGACGUGAAAUCCCUCGGCUUAACCGGGGAACUGCAUCUGAUACUGGAUGGCUUGAGUUCGGGAGAGGGAUGCGGAAUUCCAGGUGUAGCGGUGAAAUGCGCAGAUAUCAGGAGGAACACCGGUGGCGAAGGCGGUUCUCUGGGCAUGUCCUGACGCUGAGGAGCGAAAGUGUGGGGAGCGAACAGG
rnacentral:rRNA from 1 species